AAAUUGAAGAGUUUGAUCAUGGCUCAGAUUGAACGCUGGCGGCAGGCCUAACACAUGCAAGUCGAACGGUAACAGAAAGAAGCUUGCUUCUUUGCUGACGAGUGGCGGACGGGUGAGUAAUGUCUGGGAAACUGCCUGAUGGAGGGGGAUAACUACUGGAAACGGUAGCUAAUACCGCAUAACGUCGCAAGACCAAAGAGGGGGACCUUCGGGCCUCUUGCCAUCGGAUGUGCCCAGAUGGGAUUAGCUUGUUGGUGGGGUAACGGCUCACCAAGGCGACGAUCCCUAGCUGGUCUGAGAGGAUGACCAGCCACACUGGAACUGAGACACGGUCCAGACUCCUACGGGAGGCAGCAGUGGGGAAUAUUGCACAAUGGGCGCAAGCCUGAUGCAGCCAUGCCGCGUGUAUGAAGAAGGCCUUCGGGUUGUAAAGUACUUUCAGCGGGGAGGAAGGGAGUAAAGUUAAUACCUUUACUCAUUGACGUUACCCGCAGAAGAAGCACCGGCUAACUCCGUGCCAGCAGCCGCGGUAAUACGGAGGGUGCAAGCGUUAAUCGGAAUUACUGGGCGUAAAGCGCACGCAGGCGGUUUGUUAAGUCAGAUGUGAAAUCCCCGGGCUCAACCUGGGAACUGCAUCUGAUACUGGCAAGCUUGAGUCUCGUAGAGGGGGGUAGAAUUCCAGGUGUAGCGGUGAAAUGCGUAGAGAUCUGGAGGAAUACCGGUGGCGAAGGCGGCCCCCUGGACGAAGACUGACGCUCAGGUGCGAAAGCGUGGGGAGCAAACAGGAUUAGAUACCCUGGUAGUCCACGCCGUAAACGAUGUCGACUUGGAGGUUGUGCCCUUGAGGCGUGGCUUCCGGAGCUAACGCGUUAAGUCGACCGCCUGGGGAGUACGGCCGCAAGGUUAAAACUCAAAUGAAUUGACGGGGGCCCGCACAAGCGGUGGAGCAUGUGGUUUAAUUCGAUGCAACGCGAAGAACCUUACCUGGUCUUGACAUCCACGGAAGUUUUCAGAGAUGAGAAUGUGCCUUCGGGAACCGUGAGACAGGUGCUGCAUGGCUGUCGUCAGCUCGUGUUGUGAAAUGUUGGGUUAAGUCCCGCAACGAGCGCAACCCUUAUCCUUUGUUGCCAGCGGUCCGGCCGGGAACUCAAAGGAGACUGCCAGUGAUAAACUGGAGGAAGGUGGGGAUGACGUCAAGUCAUCAUGGCCCUUACGACCAGGGCUACACACGUGCUACAAUGGCGCAUACAAAGAGAAGCGACCUCGCGAGAGCAAGCGGACCUCAUAAAGUGCGUCGUAGUCCGGAUUGGAGUCUGCAACUCGACUCCAUGAAGUCGGAAUCGCUAGUAAUCGUGGAUCAGAAUGCCACGGUGAAUACGUUCCCGGGCCUUGUACACACCGCCCGUCACACCAUGGGAGUGGGUUGCAAAAGAAGUAGGUAGCUUAACCUUCGGGAGGGCGCUUACCACUUUGUGAUUCAUGACUGGGGUGAAGUCGUAACAAGGUAACCGUAGGGGAACCUGCGGUUGGAUCACCUCCUUA
rnacentral:rRNA from 1 species